AUUAGCUAGUUGGUGGGGUAAAGGCUUACCAAGGCUACGAUCCGUAGCUGGUCUGAGAGGACGACCAGCCACACUGGAACUGAGACACGGUCCAGACUCCUACGGGAGGCAGCAGUGGGGAAUUUUGGACAAUGGGGGCAACCCUGAUCCAGCCAUGCCGCGUGGGUGAAGAAGGCCUUCGGGUUGUAAAGCCCUUUCGGUGGGGACGAAACGGUGCGUGCUAACACCACGCACUACUGACGGUACCCACAGAAGAAGCACCGGCUAACUACGUGCCAGCAGCCGCGGUAAUACGUAGGGUGCAGGCGUUAAUCGGAAUUACUGGGCGUAAAGCGUGCGCAGGCGGUUUGCUAAGACAGGUGUGAAAUCCCCGAGCUUAACUUGGGAACUGCGCUUGUAACUGGCAAGCUAGAGUGUGGCAGAGGGGGGUGGAAUUCCACGUGUAGCAGUGAAAUGCGUAGAGAUGUGGAGGAACACCGAUGGCGAAGGCAGCCCCCUGGGCUGACACUGACGCUCAUGCACGAAAGCGUGGGGAGCAAACAGGAUUAGAUACCCUGGUAGUCCACGCCCU
rnacentral:rRNA from 1 species